rnacentral:rRNA from 1 species
AUUWUUWUGAGSUAAAUAUUGUUAGUAWGUAAAUAUUAUGAAAACAAAAAAUUAUGGCGGUACUUUAAGCUUUUCAGAGGAAUUUGCUCUUUAAUGGAUAAAACGCCUAGCUCUUACUAAAAUUAGUUAAAUCAGUUUGUAUACCACUAUAAAAGUAAUAUUUAACAAUUAUUACUUUAAUUAUAUUCAAAUAUAAACAAGUUAAGUCAUGGUGCAGCUAAAAUUUUAGAAUGAAGUGAAUUACUUUUUAUAUUUAAAAAUAUAUUUUUUUUAAAUAAAAAAUUAAAUUAGGAUUUGNNAAAUUAAAAAUUUAAUAGAAUGAAGUUUUGAAAAAAGCCCUAANNAGUAUGUACAUAUCGCCCGUCSCUCUU